rnacentral:rRNA from 1 species
AUUCCAGCUCCAGUAGCGUAUAUUAAAGUUGUUGCAGUUAAAAAGCUCGUAGUUGGAUUUCUGACUUCAGAUACCUGACCCUCCCUCGCUAGAGGUGUGUGUGCCGGAGUAUUUGUAUCAUCCUUUCAGUGAUCGGCUCUACCCUUAACCGGGUCGGAGCUGCUAGCUGGAUCUUUUACUUUGAAGAAAUUGGAGUGUUUAAAGCAGGCUUACGCCAGAACAUAUUAGCAUGGAAUAAUAAUUUAGGACUUUUGUUCUAUUUUGUUGGUUUCUAGGACGAAAGUAAUGAUGGAUAGGGAUAGUUGGGGGUGCUAGUAUUCGGCGGCCAGAGGUGAAAUUCUUUGAUCCGCUGAAGACUAACUUAUGCGAAAGCAUUCACCAAGGAUGUCUUCAUUG